GGAUAGUGAAAAUAAAUUAAAAGCUUGCUAGUAUUAUUUGCCUCCCAUUAAUUCACCUGUCAAAAAUGAACAUAUAAAUAAAUAAAACAAAUUUGUUCUGCUUUCAAUGGAAUGUCAGGAACAAUUUUGGAACCUCAAGUACACAAACGAUCAAACCUCACAAGUAUUAGAAGUCUCCCAUGCUUUCCAACCCCAAGACUCCACCAUAGGAAAUCAUCAGUGAAAAGAAGUGUUUUCUUUAACUAGAUUAUGGAAAUGAAUGCCAUCCAUAGAAUUGAAAACCCCAAAAUCAAUGCCAAGUUUUUCAUCUUCAUGGAUGGAGCUUCAAAUGAAGGAGUCUCGAAAAUUCACAGAUCAAUCACCACACAUAUUCUACAGCUUCACUUCUGUUCGGAGGUUGCAUUCUUUUCAGCUUCAAGAUUUGUACCUUCCUUGAGUGCUACCUGUGCUUCAUUCUCCAUUCCCAGUGCAGCAUGGGCAACAGCCUGGAGAUAAGAUGCAACAUGCCAUACAGGGGAAAUGACUUGGGCUUGCAUUGCAUCAUUUAGAGCUUCUUGAGGCAUAUCACUCAUAAGAAAGGACAGGCUGCGCCGUGCAAAAACAGUUGGAGAAACCAUUGUUCCAGCAUCAAUGAACUGUGUAUAACACUCAAUUGCUUCUCUGAAGUCCUUCUGCUUGAAAGCAGAAUCACCCUUUUUCUUGAAAUUCAAAGUUUCUUGCAUUUCGUCAGUCCACAUUUGGAACGAGAGCUCAUUUGUUACUCCUUCAUCGUCUUUAUAGCCAAUAUUGUCUAAGAUUUCACGUAUGGCUGUCAGGUCCUUUCUUGAGCAAGCCUCACCAAAUGGAGACAAAGGAGAUAGUGAAGCACUGUGUGGAAUACCCAUCAAGACAUGGGAAGGCACCUGCAUAGUGAAGGAAAUGGAAACUUAAAAACUACGGCUACCAGCUAGCCAAGUUUGGUGCAAAAGGUUAGAUCUAGGUGUGACUGUGAACUAUGUUUCCCAGGUCCCAAGUUAAUGACUGCAUCCCACUCCUAGGAUACCAAAACAAAUACAGGAGCCAGGAAGACUUUACUUCAACUUCCUUCUGAAGAGGAUUCAAAGCAGCCACUAAUGAUUUUGAAUUUGGUCGUUCCCGGAGUUCAUACUGUAAACAACGAGAAGCCAAGCGUACUAACUCAGUCCCAUCAUCAUUGGAAAACUGCCCUUCCAAGCAAGAGUCUGUUAACAUCUGAAGAUUUCUGUCCCGUAUCAAGUCAAGGGCAUGGCUGGGAGGUAUGUGCUUUCCACUGAGAAGGUCAACCAAAAGAGUGCCAAAGCUAUAUAUUACACUUUCUGGCGUUACUCUUCCAGUUCUCAAAUACUCAGGAGGAGUAAAUGCUAGAUUAGUACUGUAACUUUUUCCAUCCCUGCUGUUUUUCAUCAAACCAAAGCUCGAUAAUCUUGGAUUGCCAUCCUCAUCGAAUAAAAUUCUGUAAGCAUUAAGAUCAUGAUAGAGAGCACGUCCUUUACUUGUGCAGUAUUCUAGAGCUUCCGCAAGAUGUAGGGCAACCCUUAAUCGCAUUGCCCAUUUCAUAGGUUGUGUUUCCCAAUGAAAAAGGUGUUUGGCAAGUGUCUCAUUGGGCAAGUAUUCUGCCACAAGCAGCCUCUCAUCAUCUUCACAACAACAACCAAGCAAAU
rnacentral:misc_RNA from 1 species